rnacentral:rRNA from 1 species
UACGUGACGAGGCAAGCGUUGUCCGGAGUUACUGGGCGUAAAGCGCACGCAGGCGGUCUUGUCAGUCUGUAGGGACAGGGCACGGCUCAACCGUGUCAGGCUUAUGGAAACUGCAAGACUUGAGGGCUUCAGAGGGAUGGGGAAUUCCGGGUGGAGUGGUGGAAAUGCGUAGAGAUCCGGAAGAACACCAAAGGCGAAGGCACCAUCCUGGGGAGUCACUGACGCUCGGGUGGCGAAAGCUGAGGGAGCGAACGGG